rnacentral:rRNA from 1 species
GUUCGAUUAUGGCUCAGAUUGAACGCUGGCGGGAUGCUUUACACAUGCAAGUCGAACGGCAGCACGGACUUCGGUCUGGUGGCGAGUGGCGAACGGGUGAGUAAUGUAUCGGAACGUGCUGGUAGCGGGGGAUAACUACGCGAAAGCGUAGCUAAUACCGCAUACGCCCUUCGAGGGAAAGCGGGGGACCUUCGGGCCUCGCACUAUUAGAGCGGCCGAUAUCCGGAUUAGCUAGUUGGUGGGGGUAACGGCUCGCAAGGCGACGAUCCGUAGCUGGUUGAAGGACGACCAGCCACACUGGGACUGAGACACGGCCCAGACUCCUACAGGAGGCAGCAGUGGGGAAUUUUGGACAAUGGGGAAACCCUGAUCCAGCCAUCCCGCGUGUGCAGUAGAAGGCCUUCGGGUUGUAAAGCACUUUCGGCAGGGAAACGGCACGGGAUAAUGCCCCGUGCAACUGACGGUACCUGCAGAAUAAGCACCGGCUAACUACGUGCCAGCAGCCGCGGUAAUACGUAGGGUGCAAGCGUUAAUCGGAAUUGCACUGGGCGUAAAGCGUGCGCAGGCGGUUCAGGAAAGAAAGAUGUGAAAUCCCGAGCUUAACUUUGGAACUGCAUUUUAACUACCGAGCUAGAGUGUGUCAGAGGAGGUGGAAUUCCGCGUGUAGCAGUGAAAUGCGUAGAUAUGCGGAGGAACACCGAUAGCGAAGGCAGCCUCCUGGGAUAACACUGACGCUCAUGCACGAAAGCGUGGGGAGCAAACAGGAUUAGAUACCCUGGUAGUCCACGCCCUAAACGAUGUCAACUAGCUGUUGGGGCCUUCGGGCCUUGGUAGCGCAACUAACGUGAAGUUGACUUCGCCUGGGAAGUACGGUCAUAAGAUUAAACUCAAAGGAAUUGACGGGGACCCGCACAAGCGGUGGAUGAUGUGGAUUAAUUCGAUGCAACGCGAAAAACCUUACCUACCCUUGACAUGUCUGGAAUCCCGAAGAGAUUUGGGAGUGCUCGCAAAACCGGAACACAGGUGCUGCAUGGCUGUCGUCAGCUCGUGUCGUGAGAUGUUGGGUUGAGCGCAACCCUUGUCAUUAGUUGCUACGAAAGGGCACUCUAAUGAGACUGCCGGUGACAAACCGGAGGAAGGUGGGGAUGACGUCAAGUCCUCAUGGCCCUUAUGGGUAGGGCUUCACACGUCAUACAAUGGUCGGGACAGAGGGUCGCCAACCCGCGAGGGGGAGCCAAUCCCAGAAACCCGAUCGUAGUCCGGAUUUCGCAGUCUGCAACUCGACUGCGUGAAGUCGGAAUCGCUAGUAAUCGCGGAUCAGCAUGUCGCGGUGAAUACGUUCCCGGGUCUUGUACACACCGCCCGUCACACCGUGGAGUGGGUUUUACCAAGUAGUUAGCCUAACCGUAAGGAGGCGAUUACCACGGUAGGAUUCAUGACUGGGGUGAAGUCGUA